CAUGAACCCACUUGUGAAGUGUUACUGGAGCUGACGAGGUGUAAACGUGACUCGACAAAAAUGAGGUACCUCUGUGUGUACCAAUCUGUUUCUUCAGAUGGUUCAGAUGGCAAGUUCAAAACAUUGAGGAACUUCUUCUGCAAGGUCCUGAGUAAAAGGCAAGGAUGUCUGAGGGAAAAUCUGAGUCAUCGUAAGAGGGAAGAGAUGAAUAAUGUCCACCUUGAACUCUAGACACAGAUGAGAGCUUUCCAACCUGAUGUUGAGUGAAAAAGUCUGUUCCCUUCCUAGAAAAGAAAAAUGAGAGUUUGGGAGAAAAAGUGAAGAAGGAGGAGACAAAAGCUGUCCCCAAGCCGUCUAACUUCUUACUGAACAGUUAUAUCUUCCGGCAUCUUUCAGAGCAACUGGAGUUGCAGUGUCAGAACAUUGCACUAGUAAAUCCUCAGCUUGAUCCAGCAUAGCAUCCCUCUUGCAUUAGAAGCAUGCUGCAGGGCAGGCAGAUUCAUAUGGAUGUUGGUAAUGGUUAGCAACAUUUUGCUCUGUACAUACUUUGCUGCAGGGUCUUGAAUGAGAGCCACA
ensembl:lncRNA